UGCCCAGCAACUCCUACCCCUACCUCCUCGCGGUACUGGCCGGGGUACGAGUAACCUAGGCGAAGAUCGGGUAACCAACCCCCUGUGGGAACUUUGGUCGUAUGCUGACAGGGAAGG
rnacentral:ribozyme from 1 species